rnacentral:rRNA from 1 species
GACGAACGCUGGCGGCGUGCUUAACACAUGCAAGUCGAACGGAGUGGCGAACGGGUGAGUAACACGUGGGUGAACUGCCUUGCACUUCGGGAUAAGCUUGGGAAACUGGGUCUAAUACCGGAUAGUGCAAGAUGAGCUCGCGGACAAGCAGCUUGUUGGUGGGGUAAUGGCCUACCAAGUCGUCGGCGGGUAGCCGGCCUGAGAGGGUGUACGGCCACAUUGGGACUGAGAUACGGCCCAGACUCCUACGGGGGGCAGCAGUGGGGAAUAUUGCACAAUGGGCGGAAGCCUGAUGCAGCGACGCUGCGUGGGUGAUGAAGUCCUUCGGGUUGUGAACUCCUUUCGACAGGGACGCGGUACCUGUAUAAGAAGCACCGGCUAACUACGUGCCAGCAGCCGCGGUAAUUC